ACUCAAAACCCACGUUUUCUGACAGAUUAACUGUUACUUUUCCAUUGGGACCAGAAUCCCUAUCUGUAACACUGAUUAAGGCAAUAACAGUCCCUGGUUUAGAAUCUUCUGGAACUAGGUUCAGCAACGAGACCAGAAUCUGCAUCCGUCACGCUAAUCAGAGAUAUGACUGUGCCAGGCUUACUGUCCUCAGAAACCACGUUGGACAAAGAUGUGACCUCGAUGUCAGAUCUUCCUAGUAUGGUGCCUCAGCCGUAUAAGAUGAGGAUUUGCCCAUUAUUGUCACAGUGGAGAGUUGGAUGGACACAGUGGCAGAAAGCACAG